rnacentral:lncRNA from 1 species
GCAAAACGAAUUAUAUCCUUAAACAGUUCAGAGUUAAAUGUCUAUUUUUGGAGAGGUCGAAUCAGGGCAGCUGCUGGCGACAAAACCUGCCUAGGCGACUGAGCAUGCUCAGCGUCACUUAGAAACCCAUAGAAGUUUCAGAAAAUACAUCACUUCGCUAAGGUUUUAGUAGAUACCACAGAGGAAGAGCAAAAAGAAAGGGAGAUUUCCAAGAGCUAAAAAGGGAGAUUUCCAAUGACGGAGAAGGAACCGGGGAGAUGACAGAGUAGAGGAUCAACAGAUAAAGGCUUCGCUUCCGGCUCUGUCAGGAUAGGUUCCCUGCAGAAACAACAGAGGCUGCCCGGAGGCUGGAAGCCGCCUACCCCAGGCCGCAGAGGCUUUCGGGAGUCUGGGCCAUACUGCCCGGAGGCGAGAAGGAGCCAUCGAAGGCCAAGGAACUUGUCGCUUAGCGCAAAACGAAGACGCCGGAGCGCCGGCAGUCAGGACCCCAGUGUCUCCUCGCUCCGAAGUUUUGAGGAGAUGAAUUGGGUCGGGGGUUCCCGGUAGGUUGUUGCCGGCGCUUGAUUUUAGCCCUUGAGUCCCUGGAUAUUCAUUCCCAUAAUGGCGCCUCUUUCCUAGGCCCUGGAGGGCAGUGCACAGACUUAACUGGAAAGAACUUGCCAGGAGUGGGUUUUUUAAUCGUUAUCCAACAUGGGACGGCAUAGCGCGAAGUCUCUAUUCCUAAACCAGAAGCAAUCCAGUUUCUUCCCGCUGUUUCCCAAGGCUUCACACGUGGAGCCACUUUCCAUGAGGUGUACCUGCUCUCUGUCCUGCGUCCUGCUCUAAUGAGGCCUCUCAGCACCUGAUCCUUUUUCUGCCUUCAUUCUGUCCUGCCCUUCUUGGGAGGGGUUUCUUGGGGUCAAUAUGUAAUCUUUUCAUGAACUUGCUAAGUAUUAUGGAGGAAGUUGCUGCCCUUAAAUCCUUUAAUGGGAGGCGGGAUCAGCAUCAACCAUAAAAAUCCAGUAUAGUUUGUUUCCAAGGAAGGUAGAAUAAACAGUUUUUACUUUACUAAUUUACA